AACGAACGCUGGCGGCAGGCUUAACACAUGCAAGUCGAACGCAUCCUUCGGGGUGAGUGGCAGACGGGUGAGUAACGCGUGGGAACGUGCCCUUCAGUUCGGGAUAACCCAGGGAAACUUGGGCUAAUACCGGAUACGUGCGAGAGCAGAAAGAUUUAUCGCUGAAGGAUCGGCCCGCGUCUGAUUAGCUAGUUGGUGGGGUAAUGGCCCACCAAGGCGACGAUCAGUAGCUGGUCUGAGAGGAUGAUCAGCCACAUUGGGACUGAGACACGGCCCAAACUCCCACGGGAGGCAGCAGUGGGGAAUAUUGGACAAUGGGCGCAGCCUGAUCCAGCCAUGCCGCGUGAGUGAUGAAGGCCUUAGGGUUGUAAAGCUCUUUCGUCCGGGACGAUAAUGACGGUACCGGAAGAAGAAGCCCCGGCUAACUUCGUGCCAGCCGCCGCAGUAA
rnacentral:rRNA from 1 species